GCUCAUGUAGCUCAGUAGGUAGAGCAAUCCCCUUGUAACGGAUAGGUCGCAGGUUCGAUUCCUGUCAUGAGCU
rnacentral:tRNA from 1 species